CUACGGGCUGCAGCAGUGAGGAAUUUUGCGCAAUGGGCGAAAGCCUGACGCAGCAACGCCGCGUGAGUGAUGAAGGCCUUCGGGUCGUAAAGCUCUGUCAAGUGGGAAGAACCUAUGUAAUGCGAACAGCAUUGCGUACUGACGGUACCACUGAAGGAAGCACCGGCUAACUCCGUGCCAGCAGCCGCGGUAAUACGGGGGGUGCAAGCGUUAUUCGGAAUCAUUGGGCGUAAAGGGCGCGUAGGCGGUUUUGUAAGUCAGAUGUGAAAGCCCGGGGCUCAACCCCGGAAGUGCAUUUGGAACUAUGAGACUUGAGUAUGGGAGAGGGAAGUGGAAUUCCUGGUGUAGAGGUGAAAUUCGUAGAUAUCAGGAGGAACACCGGUGGCGAAGGCGACUUCCUGGACCAAUACUGACGCUGAGGCGCGAAGGCGUGGGGAGCAAACAGGAUUAGAUACCCCCGUAGUC
rnacentral:rRNA from 1 species